CGAGAAUUGUAGAAUUCACUUUGUGGAACUGUCCAACUGAGGACUUUGCUGUCAAACUCUUUUCGAAUGUUUAAUCACCUUGAUUGGAUUGUCUCUUGUCUCCUUUUUUUUAUGUUAUCAUCGUUUCUUUUCCAGGAUUUUGUUUCAAAAUGGUUCCGUACCACAAAAUAUUCUAAAACUAAAUCUGGGACAAGAUCUAGUUUAUGUUCCUCACUGCAACAAAAAGCAACGAUUCUGCUGAUUCACCUCUUCCCGAUAAAUUAGUUCAACUGCAUGAAAAAACUUAGACAUAUUUGGUGUGCAGUAUUUCAGUCCUCCUCUUGAUUUUGUUUCAGUGAGACAGUGCUCGUAGAAUUCUGCAGGGAGUAGUUCCUCUUUUGUUUGUACGGUAGAUAAGCAUUGUUCACAUUUCAACAAUCUUCUACGAGUGUGCAGAAGGUAUCUACAUAUUUGAUACACUGUAUCUUUGGUUA